rnacentral:lncRNA from 13 species
GCAGAAAGCUGUGAAUUUGCUGUCUCUGGAGGGCCGUGGGUUCUGGGAUAGAUGAUGGGAGAAAGAGAAGGAUAAAAAUGUCCUGCCUUCAAACUGGCCUCCAGGUCAAAAUCGCCGCAUACCAUAAGCAGGUGCUCUAGUGCCCUCUUCUGGAUAUGUUGGAGUACUGCAGCUCAGACAGAACUUUAUGGAACCCAACCCCUUUGGCAUUCUGGUGAAGCCAGCGGACCUCUUCCCGGAAUAAUGUUUUAAAAUGCGUAAGAUAAAGAAAAUAAUAAGGAAAAUCAUUAUAUUGAAAUAAGGUUAUGACAAUAUCAAAAUAUUUUAAAACCAAAUUUAUAAGUUAUUUAUUACCUCAUUAAAUAUAAGAUGUAGCGUUGGGUCUAAUAACUACUAUAAUUUCAAAGUAGUGACGAGCUUAAACAUUUGCAAAUGUCUGCAGCAACUAUAAUCUUGCAUGAAAAUAUCUGUGAUUUCUAUUGGUGACAAACAUACACAGUGUGUCUAGGGGUUCCCUAGGGCUGCCAUAGAAAGUUCCACAAACUGGGUGGCUUAAAAUAAUGGAAGUGUAUGGUCUAACCGUCCUGAAGGCUGGAAGUCUAAGUGCCACGUGUCAGCAGGACCGUGCGCCCUCCCCAGCCUCCAGAGGAGGAGUUUUCCUUGCCUCUCCCAGCUUGUGGUGGCCCCAGGCAUUCCUUGGCUUGUGGCUGCACCCCUCCAAUCUCUGCCUGUCUUUCUAUGGCCAUUUUCUCUCCAUGUCUGUGUGUAUCUCUCUCUUCUUAUAAGGGCACCACCAGUAAUAGCAUAUAAAUAAACAAAAAUUGUAAUAUAAUAAUUCAGGACACCCCACAUUGUAUCCGUGGAACAUGGAUUAAGAUCCUCUAGAAGUUAUUUUAAGUUAAUAAUAUUUAUCAUGUUCAUACCCUGUUCCCAGGAGAAUCUUAAGGGAUGUGAAGACAUGGAAGAUGGACUUCCUUCCUUGGUAGGAGUUUUCUGUCUAAGUGGGAUGAGAUGUAUACACACAAAACAACCGAGAACACUACCCAGCAGCAUGAGACUUUGCGGCACGAAUUUCAGUGUUUCAUCCCUCCAGAGGCCCAGAGAAUCGAGAUGCUUGUGGAUGGGAGCAGCGGGUAGAGAUGGGAUUUCACCAUGUUGACCAGAUGGUCUCUAUCUCCUGACCUCGUGAUCCGCCCAACUUAGCCUCCCAAAGUGUUGGGAUUACAGGCAUGAGCCACCACCCCCAGCUACAAGGGUUCUUUUAAGAGAGAGGCAGAGGAAGAUGUGAGGACACACAGAGGAGAAGGUGAUGUGAAGAUGAGGCAGAGGUCAGAGUGACAAGCCCACGUGGCCACAAGUUUAGCUGGAGGAGGUCAGGAAGGAGCCUCCCUCGCCCUUGGAAGGGAGCAACACGUAUCUACAAUAACAUGGAGUGCAGGUAUCUUCCCAAGACUGAUUUUGUUGUCUGGGAUUCUGUUGUCCUCUCACCUAGUAGUGAGAUAGCCGGACCCUACCCAUUCUAUUUUUCACUUUUUGGGACCCUUCAUACUGCUUUCUGUUAUGGCUGUGCUAAUUUACAUUCCCACCAACAGUGGGAACAGUCUCCCUUCUCCACAUCCUCACCAACACGUCUUUCAUCUUUUUGGUAGUAGACAUCCCAGCGGGUGUGAGGUGGUGUCUCCCUGUGGUUUUAAUUUGCAUUGCUCUGAUGAUUAGUGAUGUUGAACAUUUUUCGUAGACCUGUUGGCCAUUUGUAUGUCUUCUUUUGAGAAAUGUUUAUUCAGGUCCUUGGCCCAUUUUUCAAAUCAGAGUAUUUGUUUCCUUGCUAUUGAGUUGUUUGAGUUCUGUAUGUAUUUUGGAUGUUAACCCCUUAUCAGACACAUGGGUUUACGGUUUUUUUCCUAUUCCAUAGUCUGUCUCUUCUCUCUGUUGAUGGUGUUCCUCUGCAGAAGCCUUUCAAUUGGAUGUAAUUUCAUUUGUCUAUUUCCACUUUUGUUUCCUGUGCUUUUGGGGUUAUAUCCAAGAAAUCAUUGCCCAGACUAACAUCAUGAAGAUUUCCCCCUAUAUUUUCUUCUAGUACUUUUACAGUUUCCAGGUCUUAAGUUUGUCUUGAAUCCAUUUUGAGUUGAUUUUUGUAGAUGUUGUGAGAUAAGAAGAUA